AUUGAACGCUGGCGGCAUGCCUUACACAUGCAAGUCGAACGGCAGCGGGGACUUCGGUCCGCCGGCGAGUGGCGAACGGGUGAGUAAUGUAUCGGAACGUACCAUUCAGUGGGGGAUAACUAUCCGAAAGGAUAGCUAAUACCGCAUAUUCUGUGAGCAGGAAAGCAGGGGAUCGCAAGACCUUGCGCUGAUUGAGCGGCCGAUAUCAGAUUAGCUAGUUGGUGAGGUAACGGCUCACCAAGGCCACGAUCUGUAGCGGGUCUGAGAGGAUGAUCCGCCACACGGGGACUGGGACACGGCCCAGACUCCUACGGGAGGCAGCAGUGGGGAAUUUUGGACAAUGGGGGCAACCCUGAUCCAGCCAUGCCGCGUGAGUGAAGAAGGCCUUCGGGUUGUAAAGCUCUUUCGGCCGGGAAGAAAUCGCACGGGCUAAUACCCUGUGUGGAUGACGGUACCGGAAUAAGAAGCACCGGCUAACUACGCGCCAGCCGCCGCGGUAAAAC
rnacentral:rRNA from 1 species